UGGGGAAUAUUGGACAAUGGGCGAAAGCCUGACGCAGCGACGCCGCGUGAGCGAUGAAGGCCUUCGGGUCGUAAAGCUCUGUGGGGCGGGACGAAUAAGGCUUGGCUAACAUCCAAGUCGAUGACGGUACCGCCUUAGCAAGCACCGGCUAACUCUGUGCCAGCAGCCGCGGUAAGACAGAGGGUGCAAACGUUGUUCGGAAUUACUGGGCGUAAAGCGCGUGUAGGCGGCCUCGCAAGUCGGGCGUGAAAUCCUACGGCUCAACCGUGGAAGUGCACUCGAAACUGCGAAGCUGGAGUCCUGGAGAGGAAGGUGGAAUGCUUGGUGUAGAGGUGAAAUUCGUAGAUAUCAAGCGGAACACCGGUGGCGAAGGCGACCUUCUGGACAGUGACUGACGCUGAGACGCGAAAGCGUGGGGAGCAAA
rnacentral:rRNA from 1 species